rnacentral:ribozyme from 1 species
CUACGGACUUAAUUGGAUUGGAUUGAGCUUUGGCAUGGUAACCUACUAAGUGAUAACUUUCAAAUUCAGAGAAAUCCUGGAAUGAAAAAUGGGCAAUCCUGAGUCAAAUCCUAUUAUUUCACGAAAAUACAUCUCCAAUGUAUUUGGUAAUUUCCUACUUAUAAUAGUUAAAGAAGCUGAAUAACAAGCAAUUUAAGGUAGAAGAGUGCUGACCUGUGAGGUUAGUGAAGGUCGUGUGG